GGAGAGGUGGCUCAGUGGUUAAGAGCACUGACUGUUCUUCCAGAGGACCCGGGUUCAAUUCCCAGCACCUACA
rnacentral:tRNA from 1 species